rnacentral:rRNA from 1 species
UACGGAGGGUGCAAACGUUGCUCGGAAUCAUUGGGCGUAAAGCGCACGUAGGCGGCCUGUUAAGUCGGGUGUGAAACCUCCAGGCUCAACCUGGAGACGCCACCUGAUACUGCUGUGGCUAGAGUCCGGUAGGGAACACGGAAUUCCCGGUGUAGCGGUGAAAUGCUUAGAUAUCGGGAGGAACACCAGUGGCGAAGGCGGUGUUCUGGGCCGGAACUGACGCUGAGGAGCGAAAGCGUGGGUAGCAAACAGG